UACGGGAGGCAGCAGUGGGGAAUAUUGCACAACGGGCGCAAGCCUGAUGCAGCCAUGCCGCGUGUAUGAAGAAGGCCUUCGGGUUGUAAAGUACUUUCAGUCGUGAGGAGGUGUUAAGGUUAAUAACCUUAGCAAUUGACGUUAGCGACAGAAGAAGCACCGGCUAACUCCGUGCCAGCAGCCGCGGUAAUACGGAGGGUGCGAGCGUUAAUCGGAAUUACUGGGCGUAAAGGGCACGCAGGCGGUUAAUUAAGUUGGAUGUGAAAUCCCCGGGCUUAACCUGGGAAUGGCAUUCAAGACUGGUUAGCUAGAGUCUUGUAGAGGGGGUAGAAUUCCAUGUGUAGCGGUGAAAUGCGUAGAGAUGUGGAGGAAUACCGGUGGCGAAGGCGGCCCCUGGACAAAGACUGACGCUCAUGUGCGAAAGCGUGGGGAGCAAACAGGGAUUAGAUACC
rnacentral:rRNA from 1 species